ACUCCUACGGGAGGCAGCAGUGGGGAAUAUUGCACAAUGGGCGCAAGCCUGAUGCAGCAACGCCGCGUGAACGAAGAAGGCUUUCGGUCGUAAAGUUCUUUUCUUAGGGAAGAAAGAUGACGGUACCUAAGGAAUAAGCACCGGCUAAAUACGUGCCAGCAGCCGCGGUAAUACGUAUGGUGCAAGCGUUAUCCGGAAUCACUGGGCGUAAAGGGUACGUAGGCGGUGAUGCAAGUCAGAAGUGAAAGGCUACGGCUCAACCGUAGUAAGCUUUUGAAACUGCAUGACUAGAGUUCAGGAGAGGUAAGUGGAAUUCCUAGUGUAGAGGUGAAAUUCGUAGAUAUUAGGAGGAACACCAGUGGCGAAGGCGACUUACUGGACUGAUACUGACGCUGAGGUACGAAAGCGUGGGGAGCGAACAGGAUUAGAUACCCUGGUAGCGACUGA
rnacentral:rRNA from 1 species